CAAAGUCUUUCCCAUAGUCUUUCAUUAUACGAAUGGGCUCCAUGGCAUAGCUAUCUGCGGUAUCACUGCUCAAACAGGGCAAGCACCAAAUGACCCGGCUUUCUUGUCUUUGCAGGGGAAAAUCAAGCCUUUUAACAUGGGGCCAUAAUCCAAAGGCAACAGGCGAGCAACCAGGCUUCUCCAAUGCAAUGUGGCGAGAUUGCUCU